rnacentral:rRNA from 1 species
UACGGGGGGGGCAAGCGUUGUUCGGAAUUACUGGGCGUAAAGGGUUCGUAGGUGGCCCGCUAAGUCAGACGUGAAAUCCCUCAGCUCAACUGGGGAACUGCGUCUGAGACUGGUGGGCUUGAGUGCAGGAGAGGAACGCGGAAUUCCAGGUGUAGCGGUGAAAUGCGUAGAUAUCUGGAGGAACACCGGUGGCGAAGGCGGCAUCCUGGACCGGUAUUGACGCUGAGGCGCGAAAGCUAGGGUAGCAAACGGG